GCCAAUUUCGUCGAUUAAGGCGCGGGCAAAAAAUAGCUCGCAACGACACCGAGGCUACCCCGACAGGAAGCGAAUGCUUGGAAUGCCAAUGACUUUUAUGAUUCAGUUCAUUUCUCAGUGAUCUGCUUGUUUCCUCUCAGCAAUGUCGCCGAGAAAGGAAAGGACAUUCUCCGAUGCACUUGCACCUACCGGUAGUAGUCAAUGGUGAAAGUAAGUAGGUCGUGCGAAGGAUUUUGCCUGCCGGUAGCGAAAAAUGCGCGGCGUCCGCGUCAGAUGGGAGCGCAAUAAAUACGCAUCGGAAAGCUCGACCCGCCGGUGGAAAAUGGAUGAAAACAGUGGCUGUCCGCUCAAAACAAAGCAAAGAUUCCACACCACACCGAAACCGUGCGUCAUUCAUGCCCAGCCGAUCGUCGCGAAAAACAGAAUCGGAAGGCCUGUCAUGUGGAAUUGCUAUUUUUAAAGGAUAAUAUGCCCAUCACCGUCAGCGGAAAACGAAUGAUGUAACAUAAUUUUAAGGGACAGUGUAUACAUCGCGCUAGAAUAAUACACACG